UCAUAACAUUAACACACAAAAAGACUCACACAGGUGCUGAUAUGAAAGACAAUGAGUUACAGGUUGAGGAUCAUGUGAAUUAUUCUGCUCUACAGUUUAAUAAGAAAACAGGGAGAGCACAGAGACAUGCAGAAAC